rnacentral:rRNA from 1 species
UAACUGGGCGUAAGGGCACGCAGGCGGUGACUUAAGUGAGGUGUGAAAGCCCCGGGCUUAACCUGGGAAUUGCAUUUCAUACUGGGUCGCUAGAGUACUUUAGGGAGGGGUAGAAUUCCACGUGUAGCGGUGAAAUGCGUAGAGAUGUGGAGGAAUACCGAAGGCGAAGGCAGCCCCUUGGGAAUGUACUGACGCUCAUGUGCGAAAGCGUGGGGAGCAAACAGGAUUAGAUACCCUGGUAGUCCACGCUGUAAACGAUGUCGAUUUGGGGGUUGAGCUUUGAGCUUGGCGCCCGUAGCUAACGUGAUAAAUCGACCGCCUGGGGAGUACGGCCGCAAGGUUAAAACUCAAAUGAAUUGACGGGGGCCCGCACAAGCGGUGGAGCAUGUGGUUUAAUUCGAUGCAACGCGAAGAACCUUACCUACUCUUGACAUCCAGAGAACUUUCCAGAGAUGGAUUGGUGCCUUCGGGAGCUCUGAGACAGGUGCUGCAUGGCUGUCGUCAGCUCGUGUCGUGAG